GAUGAAGAACGUAGUGAAAUGCGAUAAGUAAUGUGAAUUGCAGAAUUCAGUGAAUCAUCGAAUCUUUGAACGCACAUUGCGCCCCUUGGUAUUCCGGGGGGCAUGCCUGUUCGAGCGUCAUUAUAACCCCUCAAGCUCAGCUUGGUGUUGGGGCCUGCCAACUGGCAGCCCUUAAAAUCAGUGGCGGCGCCAUCUGGCUCUAAGCGUAGUAAUUUCUCUCGCUAUAGGGUCCCGGUGGAUGCUGGCCAACAACCCCCAAUUUUCUAUGGUUGACCUCGGAUCAGGUAGGGAUACCCGCUGAACUUAAGCAUAUCAAUAAGCGGAGGA
rnacentral:misc_RNA from 1 species